AUGAACGCUGGCGGCGUGCUUAACACAUGCAAGUCGAACGGAAAGGCUCCUGCUUACAGGGGUACUCGAGUGGCGAACGGGUGAGUAACACGUGGGUGAUCUGCCCUGCACUUCGGGAUAAGCCUGGGAAACUGGGUCUAAUACCGGAUAGGACGAUGGUUUGGAUGCCAUUGUGGAAAGUUUUUCGGUGUGGGAUGAGCUCGCGGCCUAUCAGCUUGUUGGUGGGGUAAUGGCCUACCAAGGCGUCGACGGGUAGCCGGCCUGAGAGGGUGUACGGCCACAUUGGGACUGAGAUACGGCCCAGACUCCUACGGGAGGCAGCAGUGGGGAAUAUUGCACAAUGGGCGCAAGCCUGAUGCAGCGACGCCGCGUGGGGGAUGACGGCCUUCGGGUUGUAAACUCCUUUCGCUAGGGACGAAGCGCAAGUGACGGUACCUGGAGAAGAAGCACCGGCUAACUACGUG
rnacentral:rRNA from 1 species